rnacentral:rRNA from 1 species
GAUGAACGCUGGCGGCGUGCUUAAUACAUGCAAGUCGAACGGAAGUAAUUGGGAGCUUGCUCUUGAUUACUUUAGUGGCGGACGGGUGAGUAACGCGUGGGUAACCUGCCUCAUACAGGGGGAUAACAGUUAGAAAUGACUGCUAACACCGCAUAACAUUGCAGUACCGCAUGAUACUGUGAUCAAAUAUUUAUAGGUAUGAGAUGGGCCCGCGUCUGAUUAGCUAGUUGGUGGGGCAAAGGCCUACCAAGGCGACGAUCAGUAGCCGUACUGAGAGGUAGAACGGCCACAUUGGGACUGAGACACGGCCCAAACUCC